CCGAAAGGGUGAAAGGCGUAAGGAAACAUUCUAAUGGAACAGGAAACCCUGCUUGAGGGCUACUCGAGUGGCGAACGGGUGAGUAACACGUGGGUGAUCUGCCCUGCACUUCGGGAUAAAGCCUGGGAAACUGGGUCUAAUACCGGAUAGGACCCUCCUUUAGUGUGGGGGGUGGAAAGAUUUUUCGGUGUGGGAUGAGCCCGCGGCCUAUCAGCUUGUUGGUGGGGUAAUGGCCUACCAAGGCGUCGACGGGUAGCCGGCCUGAGAGGGUGGACGGCCACAUUGGGACUGAAAUACGGCCCAGACUCCUGCGGGAGGCAGCAGUGGGGAAUAUUGCACAAUGGGCGGAAGCCUGAUGCAGCGACGCCGCGUGGGGGAUGACGGCCUUCGGGUUGUAAACCUCUUUCAACAGGGACGAAACUUUGGUGACGGUACCUGUAUAAGAAGCACCGGAUAACUACAUGCCAGCAGCCGCAGAAAUACGUAAGGUGCGAGCGUUGUCCGGAAUUACUGGGCGUAAAAAACUCAAAGGUGGAUUGUCCCGUCGUCUGUGAAAUUCCGGGGCUUAACUUCCGGGCAUGCCAGGCAUACAAAAAUACU
rnacentral:rRNA from 1 species